UCCCUGGUAGUAUAUCGGCUAGUACACGCGCCUGUCAUCGUAUGUCGGCAAUUGAUUUGUGUGCGCGCGAAAGCUGGGUUCGACUCCCAGCCAGGGAG